rnacentral:rRNA from 1 species
CCUACGGGGGGCAGCAGUGGGGAAUAUUGGGCAAUGGGCGCAAGCCUGACCCAGCAACGCCGCGUGAAGGAAGAAGGCUCUCGGGUUGUAAACUUCUUUUAUCAGGGACGCAGCAAGUGACGGUACCUGAUGAAUAAGCCACGGCUAACUACGUGCCAGCAGCCGCGGGAAUCCGUCAGCGGCAAGCGUUAUCCGGAUUUACUGGGUGUAAAGGGCGUGUAGGUGGGAGUGCAAGUCAGAUGUGAAAACUAUGGGCUCAACCCAUAGCCUGCAGUUGAAACUGUACUUCUUGAGUGCUGGAGAGGCAAGCGGAAUGCCGUGUGUAGCGGUGAAAUGCGUAGAUAUACGGAAGAACACCAGUUGCGAAGGCAGAUUGCUGGACAGUAACUGACGCUGAGGCGCGAAAGCGUGGGGAGCAAACAGGAUUAGAUACCCCUGUAGUC